GGAUUGUGGUUCAGCGGUAGAGCGCUUGCCUAGCAUGUGUGAGGCCCUGGGUUCGAUCCUCAACACCA
rnacentral:tRNA from 1 species